CCAACGUGGAUACUGUGGCAAUUCUAGAGCUAAUACAUGCACCAAAGCUCCGACUUUGAACGAGCGCAUCUAUUAGAUUAAAACCAAUCGGGUUAUUAGCCCGUUAAUUGGUGACUCUGAAUAGCUAUGGCUGAUCGCAUGGUCUUGUACCGGCGACAUAUCUAUCAAGUGUCUGCCUUAUCAACUUUCGAUGGUAGUUUAUGUGCCUACCAUGGUUGUAACGGGUAACGGAGAAUAAGGGUUCGACUCCGGAGAGGGAGCCUGAGAAACGGCUACCACAUCCAAGGAAGGCAGCAGGCGCGCAAAUUACCCACUCUCAGAAUGAGGAGGUAGUGACGAAAAAUAACGAGACCGUUCUCUUUGAGGCCGGUUAUCGGAAUGGGUACAAUUUAAACCCGUUAACGAGGAUCUAUGAGAGGGCAAGUCUGGUGCCAGCAGCCGCGGUAAUUCCAGCUCUCAAAGUGUAUAUCGUCAUUGCUGCGGUUAAAAAGCUCGUAGUUGGAUCUGCGUCUCAGGACCUGGUCCAUUCAUUGGAUGAGAACUAGGCUCCUAGGCUAAUAUUGCCAGUUUUCCUACGUUACCUUGAUUGGUUGCGUAUGGUGGCUAGCAAGUUUACCUUGAAAAAAUUAGAGUGCUCAAUGCGGGCUAAUGCCUGAAUACUCGUGCAUGGAAUAAUGAAAUAGGAUCUCGGUUCUAUUUUGUUGGUUUUCUGAUCUGAGAUAAUGGUUAAGAGGGACGGACGGGGGCAUUCGUAUCGCUGCGUGAGAGGUGAAAUUCUUGGACCGUAGCGAGACGUACGACUGCGA
rnacentral:rRNA from 1 species